GGUUCGAUCCUGGCUCAGAUUGAACGCUGGCGGGAUGCUUUACACAUGCAAGUCGAACGGCAGCACGGACUUCGGUCUGCGGCGAGCGGCGAACGGGUGAGUAAUGAUCGGAACGUGCCUAGUAGCGGGGGAUAACUUACGCGAAAGCGUAGCUAAUACCGCAUACGGCCCUUCGGGGGAAAGCGGGGACCUUCGGGCCUCGCACUAUUAGAGCGGCCGAUAUCGGAUUAGCUAGUUGCGGGGUAACGGCUCACCAAGGCGACGAUCCGUAGCUGGUUUGAGAGGACGACCGCCAGCCACACUGGGACUGAGACACGGGCCCAGACUCCUACGGAGGCAGUGGGGAAUUUUGGACAAUGGGGAAACUCCUGAUCCAGCCAUCUCCGCGUGUGCGAUGAAGGCCUUCGGGCUGUGAGCACUUUUGGCAGGAAAGAAACGGCAUCGAUAAUACCCCGUGCAACUGACGGUACCUGCAGAAUAAGCACCGCUAACUACGCGCCAGCAGCCGCGGUAAUACGUAGGGUGCAAGCGUUAAUCGGAAUUACUGGGCGUAAAGCGUAUGCAGGCGGUUCGGAAAGAAAGAUGAAAUCCAGAGCUGAACUUUGAACCGGCAUUUUUAACUACCGAGCUGGAGGUGCCAGAGGGAGGUGGAAUUCCGCGUAGCAGUGAAAUGUGAUAGCGUGAGGAACACCGAUGGCGAAGGCAGCCUCCUGGGGAUAACACUGACGCUCAUGCACGAAAGCGUGGGAGCAAACAGGAUUAGAUACCCGGUAGUCCACGCCCUAAACGAUGUCAACUAGCUGUUGGGGCCUUCGGCCUUGGUAGCGCAGCGAAUAUGCAGUUGAAUCGCCUGGCACUGUCGCAAGAUUAAAACUCAAAGGAAUUGACGGGGACCCGCACAAGCGGUGGAUGAUGUGGAUUAAUUCGAUGCAACACGAAAAACCUUACCUACCCUUGACAUGUCUGAAUCCCGAAGAGAUUUGGGAGUGCUCGCAAGAGAACCGGAACACAGGUGCUGCAUGGCUGUCGUCAGCUCGUGUCGUGAGAUGUUGGGUUAAGUCCCGCAACGCUGCAGCAAACUCCUUGUCAUUAGUUGUUAUUGAAAGGGCACUCUAAUGAGACUGCCGGUGACAAACCGGAGGAAGGUGGGGAUGACGUCAAGUCCUCAUGGCCCUUAUGGGUAGGGCUUGCCGUCACAAUGGUCGGGACAGGUCGCCAACUCCGCGAGGGGGAGCCAAUCCCAGAAACCCGAUCGUAGUCCGGAUCGCAGUCUGCAACUCGACUGCGUGAAGUCGGAAUCGCUAGUAAUCGCGGAUCAGCAUGUCGCGGUGAAUACGUUCCUGGGUCUGUACACACUGCCCGUCACACCAUGGGAGUGGGUUUUACCAGAAGUAGUUAGCCUAACCGUAAGGAGGGCGAUUACCACGGUAGGAUUCAUGACUGGGGUGAAGUCGUAACAAGGUAA
rnacentral:rRNA from 1 species